GGGCCCGUAGCUCAGCCUGGCAGAGCGCCCGGCUUUUAACCGGUAGGUCGUGGGUUCAAAUCCCACCGGGCCCG
rnacentral:tRNA from 1 species